ACUUGACUGAUCCAAGAACAGGAAACUGAAAUUGCUAUAACCUUUCUUUAAACUUGCUGGUUUAAAAGUUGUCACUAAACAUUUUGCCAUACUUCAAGCCCUGAAAGGUUGUAAAAGAGAGGGUAAAAAGUUUGGCACUGUUGAAACAAGUGAUUUACUCAAUCGCCAGAUCUUAAUAUGAGACUGCUCUGUUUUCUGCUGCAUUUAUCCUAGUGUUCUUUAGGGCCAUGAGAAUCAAUGAGCUGGCACCUCUGAGUAAAGCAAAACAUGAUGGUUUAUUGGCAGAGGACUUUAUUUUAGGUGAGGGUUGUCUCCAGUUCCGCAUCAGGAAACCUAAGGUGGAUAUUUAUGGUAAAGUUGGGUGACACUGAAAAAGUUUUGAAAAUUUAUCAUGUUUCUCUUGUCCCUGCAACUGCCCCCAUGAAUGUAAGUUUGCUCUGGAAAUUUUAUCUAGCACAAGUUACAAACAAAUUGCUGUCAGACUAAGGGAAACGUGCUUGCAGAAUGAGCACCAAUGGGUGCACUUUGGCACUUUUUCCCCUGGUCUUUCCUGGUGAAACACCUGAUGAAUGGAAGUAGAACUAGGGCUUAUUCUCAACAUGUCCUACCACCAAUGAGGACUUGGUAUAAGGCAAGAGCCAACAGUACCAGUUCUGGGUGUGGGAGCUGGUGUGUGAGAAUAAUGGAUCAACCGCAGCAAAACACACAUGUAUAGCUUUUAGUAGUUUCCUAUUUUAAACAGUCCCCAUGAGAAAGUGUUCAUUUUACAUCUCCAUCCUUUGCAGAGUCUCAUGAGUUAUUAUUAGCCAACAGGCAAACAAGCAGUAACCUGAACUGCACUCUCACCAACUGUUCAGCCUGGCCUACUACCACAUGAAAACGACUACACCCCCACAAGUGCCACUGCUAAUUUUUCUUCCUGCUCAGUGGAGAAGCCAUCACGGGUUUUUGACUAAGAGGAGCCAAAGAGCCUUUCUAAAUGUACGACAUGGACUAAAAGCCUUAAAUCAAAAGGGAAUGAAUUCUCUCCUACGCAGAGGAGGACAUUAUCAUCAUAUUCAAGUACCCUAAGGAUCAAGAAAUAACUGUCAUCCUCGUCAUUUCUCAUAGUUGUACAGCAUGGAUCAAAACAUAUUGACAUUGGAAAUUGAUCAUCAAUAAAAGCUAAACUAAUGAACUUAAA